rnacentral:rRNA from 1 species
UGAACGCUGGCGGCAUGCCUUACACAUGCAAGUCGAACGGCAGCGCGGGGCAACCUGGCGGCGAGUGGCGAACGGGUGAGUAAUAUAUCCGGAACGUACCCUGAAGUGGGGGAUAACGUAGCGAAAGUUACGCUAAUACCGCAUACGAUCUAAGGAUGAAAGUGGGGGCUCGCAAGACCUCAUGCUCCUGGAGCGGCCGAUAUCUGAUUAGCUAGUUGGUGGGGUAAAGGCCCACCAAGGCAUCGAUCAGUAGCUGGUCUGAGAGGACGACCAGCCACACUGGAACUGAGACACGGUCCAGACUCCUACGGGAGGCAGCAGUGGGGAAUUUUGGACAAUGGGCGCAAGCCUGAUCCAGCAAUGCCGCGUGAGUGAAGAAGGCCUUCGGGUUGUAAAGCUCUUUUGUCAGGGAAGAAACGGGUGGGGCUAAUAUCCUCACCUAAUGACGGUACCUGAAGAAUAAGCACCGGCUAACUACGUGCCAGCAGCCGCGGUAAUACGUAGGGUGCAAGCGUUAAUCGGAAUUACUGGGCGUAAAGCGUGCGCAGGCGGUUUUGUAAGUCUGUCGUGAAAUCCCCGGGCUCAACCUGGGAAUGGCGAUGGAGACUGCAAGGCUAGAGUUUGGCAGAGGGGGGUAGAAUUCCACGUGUAGCAGUGAAAUGCGUAGAUAUGUGGAGGAACACCGAUGGCGAAGGCAGCCCCCUGGGUCAAAACUGACGCUCAUGCACGAAAGCGUGGGGAGCAAA